AUUGAACGCUGGCGGCAUGCUUUACACAUGCAAGUCGAACGGUAACAGGGAGCUUGCUCCGCUGACGAGUGGCGAACGGGUGAGUAAUGCGUCGGAACGUGCCGAGUAGUGGGGGAUAACGCAUCGAAAGGUGUGCUAAUACCGCAUACGUACUGAGGGAGAAAGUGGGGGACCUUCGGGCCUAACGCUAUUCGAGCGGCCGACGUCUGAAUAGCUAGUUGGUGAGGUAAAGGCUCACCAAGGCGACGAUCAGUAGCGGGUCUGGGAGGAUGAUCCGCCACACUGGGACUGAGACACGGCCCAGACUCCUACGGGAGGCAGCAGUGGGGAAUUUUGGACAAUGGGCGCAAGCCUGAUCCAGCCAUGCCGCGUGUCUGAAGAAGGCCUUCGGGUUGUAAAGGACUUUUGUCCGGGAGCAAAUGCUGGUGGCUAACAUCCACCGGAGCUGAGAGUACCGGAAGAAUAAGCACCGGCUAACUACGUGCCAGCCGCCGCAGUAACAC
rnacentral:rRNA from 1 species